rnacentral:rRNA from 1 species
AACGUCCCAGUUCGGAUUGUAGUCUGCAACCCGACUACAUGAAGCUGGAAUCGCUAGUAAUCGCGGAUCAGAAUGCCGCGGUGAAUACGUUCCCGGGUCUUGUACACACCGCCCGUCACACCAUGGGAGCCGGGAAUGCCCGAAGUCGGUGACCUAACCUUUAAGGGGGAGCCGCCGAAGGCAGGUCUGGUAACUGGGGUGAAGUCGUAACAAGGUAGC